rnacentral:lncRNA from 1 species
CCAUAUAAAUAGGUUAAGAAGGGACGUGAGGAAGGACCAAGGGGCACCAACUCUUGGCGCUCCAAGUUCUCACAGAGAAAUAAAUCUUCGUGAAUUAAUUUGACGCAGAAGAGCUUUCACAUAGAAGGACUCCUCUUCUGUGCCUCAUAAAUUUUUCAUAAUAAAUUGGUGUGAAAUAAAUAGAGAUCUGGAUGAGAACCAAUGAGUUUGAUAAGAGUCAUCAUUAAGAAGGACUCUUCAUAUCUCAAUGCAAUAAAGAGGGGGGC